CCAGCAACUUGAAGGAAUGUAUAGCGAAAGCUAAUUGUAUUAAAUAUAUACAAUACCGAUUUAUUCGGCUAAAAUUCUGGGUAGAGUUUUGAUGAUGACAUUACCUACCUAUAUGUCUUGACCAAAUUCUGUGCCAGCAGUCGCGGCAAUACAAAGAAGACUUGUGUUAUUCAUGUUUAGUCGGUUUAAAGGGUAACUAGACGGUAAAUCAAGCCAUAUUGGGACUAAUUUACUUGAGUUUAAUAUAAGGGAGCAUUAAAGUACUGAUGGUGUAGAGAUGAAAUUCGUUGAUACCAUAUAUGGCACAGGUUUAGGCGAAAGCAUCUCCUUAUGUAAAAACUGACGUUCAGGGACGAAGGCUAUGUGCAGCGAAUAGGAUUAGAUACCCUAGUAGUUUUAGCAGAAAAUGAUGAAUGUCAUAGGGUAGUAAAUAAAUAUAGAUGUGAAGUAGUGGUAUUCUUCAAUACCUUUGAAGUAGUAGUAUGCUUCAAUCCCAUUGAAAUAGUGGUAUGCUUCAAUGGGAAUGUUUCAAUCCCAAUCUAUAUUGUUAUUCUAUAAAUGAAAGUGUAAGCAUUCCACCUCAUGAGUAAUUUGGCAACAUUGGAAUUGAAAUCAUUAGACCGUUUCUGAUACAAGCAGUGAAGUAUGUUAUUUAAUUUGAUAAUCCGCAAAAAACCUUACCACAUUUUGAAUAUACCUUUAAAGUAUUACAAGUGCUGCAUGGUUGUCUUCAGUUAAUGUCGUGAGACUUUG
rnacentral:rRNA from 1 species